UACGUAGGGUCCGAGCGUUGUCCGGAAUUAUUGGGCGUAAAGAGCUCGUAGGCGGUCUGUUGCGUCGGUUGUGAAAACCUGGGGCUCAACUCCAGGCCUGCAAUCGAUACGGGCAGACUAGAGUGUGGUAGGGGAGAUUGGAAUUCCUGGUGUAGCGGUGGAAUGCGCAGAUAUCAGGAGGAACACCGAUGGCGAAGGCAGAUCUCUGGGCCAUUACUGACGCUGAGGAGCGAAAGCGUGGGGAGCGAACAGG
rnacentral:rRNA from 1 species